rnacentral:lncRNA from 15 species
CUUCAGUGUUCAUGGUUCAGGAGGUUUCUACCGGGAGCCCAAUGAUCCACAGAGGUCUCCUCCUCUCCAACACAAACAGACCCGCUGAUUAAAACCACUAAACACACUGAAUAAAGCAGUUCCACCUUAAACACACUGAAUAAAGCAGUUCCACCUUAACAAUCACUGCUUCUCCCACGCUGUUGGACAGACAAAGGACGUCCCGGAGGGGCUGCGAGCCGAGCUGCUGCUAACGUUAGCUCAGCUUGUUUCUCUGAUAACUUAAGAUCCAGACGUCUGAUGACUAAAAUCCUUCAUCUGGUUCAAAUCUAGAGUUAAAAAGCACCAAGAUCUAAACAGUGGAUGGUAAACAGUCAGUGUAUGACAGCUUCUGAUUAUUGAUUAUUGAUUGAAUCAGCUGCUAUCAGGAGCCAUUUUAAAACCUCCCUGCGUGGGGCAUUUAAGGACACUCUGGUCCGCUACCAGAAACAACAGUGAUGAUGUCAGACGGUGAACAGGUGAGCUGAACACGCUCUGCUGACACACCUGGACGGCGGCCCAGAGAUCAGACAGUGGUUCAGGGUGAUAAGACGAGGGCCACGAAAGCGUUCAAUGUGGAGCGAAGGUCACAUUGACGACUGCAGAGGGACCAGGAAACAGGAAGUGAUGUCAGCUAAGCACAGAGAGGAAAUACAGGUAUGAAUAUCCACCGGUUUGACCUUUGACCUCUGUCACACCACAUAGAGGCAUGAUGGGAUACCAAGAGUCACUGCAGCGGAGUCCGCUGUGAAGCAGAAAAUAAAAGCUAAAUACUUCCUACUCCUACCUUCCUUACCUCCUUUAUAACCUCCACCCUUCCUUUGUUAUCUCCUUCUGUCCUUUCCUACCUUCUUUAACCCUCCUUCCUCAAUUCCUCUUUUUCUUUUCUUUUCUUUCUUCCCUUUCCUUCGUCCUUCUUUCCUUCCUUACCCCAGUCGUUUCCCUCCUUGCCUUUUCACUUCCUCCCCUACCUCCUUCUGUCCUUCCCUCACACCCUCUUUCCUUCUUUACCUCCUUAUUUCCUAACAUUACCAUCUUUAUCCUUACCUCCCCAUUUCCUUUGUUAUGUCCUUCCUUCCUUCCUGACAGGAGACAGGUGGAUGCAGUGAUGUACGAGGUCUUCUCUGUCCCCUCUGGGACCCCAUCCUCCCCAGUACAGAAUGCUGUGGUUGAACUGGCUGCGUGUGACGGUCCAGUAGCUCAAACGUACACUCUGGAGUCAGACGCAGUAACCAUAGCAACCGUGGCUCACAGCAUCAUCACAAAUCCUAGGUUGGAGCCACUGAUCCAGAUUCUGAUGUACAAUGUCUGUAACACAUCACCGACCUCCAUCACCGACCUUCAUCACAUCAUGGAAGAGGACCGGAUAUGGAAGAGGACCACGUAUGAAAGAGGACCAGAUCAGACGUGAAAAGGUUCUAUGCGAUUUGUGCCAUUCACACUGACAUGAAAACAAAAUAUCACACACAUAUGAGCAGAAACAGCUGACUAAUGUAAAUGGAGACAAAGACAAUUGUCUCGUAAUCCGUCCACAAGGGUCUGUUUCAUUCAGGACCUCAUGAGACCGAACAAAAUAGAGAAGAAAAAAGCUUGUGGGGACAUCGUGGCAAUUCCUAACAGAAGUUAUCUCAGGAAAUUUUCAAAUAGAGCAGGUCUAGACCGAACUCUUUAUAACAUUAUUUACAGAGACCCAACAGUACCACCAUGAGCAAG